GACGAACCGUGCGAACGUUGUUCGGAAUCACUGGGCUUAAAGGGCGCGUAGGCGGGCUGCCGCGUCCGGGGUGAAAUCCCACGGCUCAACCGUGGAACGGCCUCGGAUACGGGCGGCCUCGAGGGGGGGUAGGGGCAUCUGGAACUGUGAGUGGAGCGGUGAAAUGCGUUGAUAUUCAUAGGAACUCCGGUGGCGAAGGCGAGGUGCUGGACCCCUUCUCGACG
rnacentral:rRNA from 1 species